rnacentral:rRNA from 1 species
AUUAGAGCUAAAAUUUAAUAUCUAAGAACUAAGACUUUACAGUUAAAACUUAAAGGACAUGGCGACGGUAUUUACUCAGGGGAACUUACCAGGUAAAUGAUAAUCCACAAGGAACCGUGCUAAUUUUUAAAGUAUGUAUACCGCCGUCGUGAACUUACCUUAGGUAAGUUCACCAAGUUUUAAUUAACUAAAGGACAGGUCAUGGUGCAGCCUAUAAAUUAGCCCUAAGGCGAGUUACAUUAUUAUCUGUUUAUUUCGGUAUUUUUUUUCGAAUGUAAAAAGAAAAGUCGGACUUGAAAGUAAAUAAGAAAAGAAAUACUUAUUGAAUGCUUUUUUACCGUGC